rnacentral:misc_RNA from 1 species
CGGCUCUGAGCUCUCCUUUUUCUCCAACGGUUCUUUUCCUUUUCUUUACAAUUUUUUUUUUGACCUUCCCAGAUCUGCCCGCCCUCUGUCUCAAAAAUUUGAAAUCUUUUCUUCCUUUCUCUCUCUAUCUCCCUUAUCUCUCUCUGUAUUAAUAACCAAAAGCUUUCUCUUUUGAAAAUGUCUUCAGGGACAACGUAUACCCCACCCUCUCUCUCUUAUCUAUUACAAGAGCGGAAGAGCAAUCAAUUAUCUUGGGCUAAUUCUGUCUUUAUAAUUCAAAUUCCAUUGCUUCGCCUUCUCUAUCUCUUUUAUUCUCUGUUGUAUUGGGUCACCAAUCAUGGGUGGCUGUUUAAGCAGGAAAAAGGGUUCUUCUUUGAAUGCAGCUGCCCCGGUCUCCGUUGCAGCUAUGGAAGCAGUAGGUCCAGACAAGUUGUGUCAUACUAAUGCUUUCAAAGGGGAAGCUGAUGUAAAAAUUAGGGAGAAGCUGGGCAGGGAAGAGAAGGUGAAGAAACAAGUAGCGGUGGAAGAAGAAGGGUUGGUGAAGAAGGAGAUUUUUGUGAUAAAACACAGGAAGAGCCAUGAUAGAGAGAAACCCUCUCCUCCUCCUCAGAAGGAUGUGCCCUCAGUAGAAGAAAACAAGGUUGCUCCUGCUAUUCCUAGUAGUACAAACAUUAACCCAAGUGUAGAUGUCGUUGAAACGGGCAAUAAUGUUAGUAAUAUGGUGGUGAGGACAUCAAGCUGCACAAAAGAGGAGCUGGAUGCUAUUCUCAUACAUUGUGGAAGGCUUAGCCGGAGCAAUUCCUCUGGAGCCGGAAAGGCUGCUUCUUCUGGCAGGAAGUACUCCGGUCACAAGAGGAGUUACGACUUGGAUCACAAUGACCAGGACCAAGAUGUUGAGAUUGCUCCUGCUUCUACUUAU